AGAGUUUGAUCCUGGCUCAGGAUGAACGCUGGCGGCGUGCCUAACACAUGCAAGUCGGGCGAGAAACCAUCGAUUGAAACUUCGGUAGAUAUUGAAGGCGGAAGGCGGCGGACGGGUGAGUAACGCGUAGGCAACCUGCCCUUUGCAGAGGGAUAGCAACGGGAAACUGUUAUUAAAACCUCAUAAUACCGUAAUGUCAAAUGAUGAAACGGUCAAAGAUUUAUCGGCAAAGGAUGGGCCUGCGUCUGAUUAGUUAGUUGGUAGGGUAACGGCCUACCAAGGCAGCGAUCAGUAGCCGACCUGAGAGGGUGAUCGGCCACAUUGGAACUGAGACACGGUCCAAACUCCUACGGGAGGCAGCAGUGGGGAAUAUUGCACAAUGGGCGAAAGCCUGAUGCAGCAACGCCGCGUGAAGGAUGAAGGCCUUUGGGUCGUAAACUUCUGUCCUUGGGGAAGAAAAAAUGACGGUACCCCUGGAGGAAGUCCCGGCUAACUACGUG
rnacentral:rRNA from 1 species